ensembl:ncRNA lncRNA:iab8 long non-coding RNA:iab8
GGUAAUUGCAUUCAGAGCGUAGCACUCUCAGGUCCCAGGAGGUACCUUUGAGUCCCGUAGUCGUAAAACCCCUUUCCAUUCCCUUCCGCGACUUCGACCACUGGGCACAGCCGGAGAUAGCCUCCGACGUUCCAUUUCCGCAGCAGGCGGCAGGAUAUUAUUAGGCAGAAGGGGUUAUGGAUUUUACAGAUUUCUGGAAUGGUUAGAAAAUAUUAAAGGUUUAUUUUACAUUUCUGCAAAAGGACCAACGUUUGAUUACACAUCGACCCCUGGAGCGAGGACUUAACCCGACGGCAGCUGCAUCAGUUUCAGUUCUCCGAGGGACAUGUAGAUGGAUACUCUGGGCCCUCAUCUGCGUCUUCGCGUGUGUUUGUGUGUUUUUAUAACAUUUGUGGAUUACGCCUAUAAAAACUACACUUCACCGCGAAGCCAGCGAAGUGGGCACCAGCUACAACAAAGGACAACAAUUAUUCUGCAAAAAUGAUACAACCUGUCGCUCGAGAGAUUACAAACGGAGCUGCUUUUAUGGUUUGUUCCGCUUUUGUUUAACGAUUCCGAGGAUCACACGUAAUAACCCACGCAAUCCACCACCGAAGUCGGAAAACCGACUCAACGGAACGCAGCGCAACUUGACUCAACCGAAACUCGACACUUAUCCCUGGGAACUCAAAAUAGUGUUUUAUUGUUGGAAAUUACGAUUCUUUUAUUUAUUUACUUUUUCUGCAUUUCUUUGCCGCCCCACACACACCCACCGUUUCAAUUUUUAUAUGUUUAUUACGGUUAUUAUCGCUUAAUGGGGCUCGCUCGCUGGUUAUUGCUGUUGUUGUGUUGCUUGCACCAGUAGUUGUGUCAGACUAACGUGUGAAGUUGUUUUAUUAUUUGUUUUGAUUAUCAAAAUGGGCGUUUUACAUUUUUCCGGUCGUUGGGCGGCCCACCUGCCACGGGCCCACCGCUUAUAGUCCACAUCCCAUAACCCCGGGGCAAGGGCAGUAAAUCACGGCCCGCUGUGAGUGGCUGAGUACCUGGGCAGCAGUACACUUGAAAAAUAAUAACCCUUCUCUUUUAAAAUAUUGGACGGCUAGACAUAAUAUUCAAUUACAAAUACAUCACAGCAAUAAACCAUUUUUCGGGCUUCUAUAACAAGUUGAAUUAACCUAAAGAACUUUUUAAUUUAUUUAAAAACCAUUUUGAAUUUAUUUAGUUAAAUUUAGUUACUUAAAAUGUUCCAUCAUGUAUAAAUUAGUAAUAUGUCAUAAAAAUAGUUUAAUUCAAUACUAUUUCGUUACAAUAAUACGAAUUUUGCAUCAUCAAAGGUUAUACAAAAUAAAAUUACCAGUUAUAUUUUCAGUGCAUGAGUAAAUCCACUCAUUCGCACUCGCUGUAUGACCCAUAAGCAGAAACCAAAGUGUGGCAAAAUGCUUAAUUUAGAAUUUAUGAGCAAUUAAUUUUAAAGCGCUCUCUGGCCAUUAACGCCGUUACUGCUUCUCCCCCUUGACCGUAAUACACCUUUGGUCAUUAAAGAAUUAAGAAGCCAGUGUGCCAAAAAUUGAUUGUUUAGCCAAUCCGCUGAUGGAUCAAUUAUUCAAUUGUUAUAGCCAAAGAGUUGGCAAUCCAAUUUGAGCACGAGUCGUAUUCCAACAAAUAGACAGGUAGGAAGCACAUUAACUGGUAGAUUUAUGAAUAAGAAAUAAUUUAAAUAAAUUUGUUAUGCUUUAGAAAUUGUUUAUUAAGGUUAAUUUAUGAGUGUUAAAUGGCUAAAAAUUAUUUAAUUGAAGGAUAAGAAAAUGUUGUGAUGUGGUAUGAUUUAAAUAAAAAAUACAAAAAUAAAUAUAGAAAAACU